rnacentral:tRNA from 1 species
CGGGAUGUAGCGCAGCUUGGUUAGCGCACAAGUCUGGGGGACUUGAGGUCGCUGGUUCGAAUCCAGUCAUCCCGACCA